GUCGCACGAGAAAGUGGAGCAAUCCAUGAGUAAAGUGGCGUACGGGUGAGUAACACGUGGAUCAUCUACCUCUUGGUGGGGAAUAACCCGGGGAAACCUGGGCUAAUACCGCAUAAGCCUGCGAAGGGAAAGCAGCAAUGCGCCGAGAGAGGAGUCCGCGGCCGAUUAGCUAGUUGGUAGGGUAAUGGCCUACCAAGGCAAUGAUCGGUAGCCGGCCUGAGAGGGCACACGGCCACACUGGCACUGAAACACGGGCCAGACUCCUACGGGAGGCAGCAGUGGGGAAUCUUGCACAAUGGAGGAAACUCUGAUGCAGCGACGCCGCGUGAGCGAUGAAGCCCUUCGGGGUGUAAAGCUCUUUCGACGGGAACGAUAAUGACGGUACCCGGAGAAGAAGCUGCGGCUAACUACGUGCCAGCAGCCGCGGUAAUACGUAGGCAGCAAGCGUUGUUCGGAAUUACUGGGCGUAAAGAGUGUGUAGGCGGUUCUCUAUGUUCGGUGUGAAAUCUCCCGGCUUAACUGGGAGGGUGCGCCGAAAACUGGAGGGCUUGAGUAUGGGAGAGGAAAGCGGAAUUCCUGGUGUAGCGGUGAAAUGCGUAGAUAUCAGGAGGAACACCUGCGGUGUAGACGGCUUUCUGGACCAUCACUGACGCUGAGACACGAAAGCGUGGGUAGCAAACAGGAUUAGAUACCCUGGUAGUCCACGCCCUAAACGAUGCAUACUUGGUGUGAGCCGUUCAUUCGG
rnacentral:rRNA from 1 species